rnacentral:rRNA from 1 species
CCUACGGGUGGCAGCAGUGAGGAAUAUUGGUCAAUGGCCGUAAGGCUGAACCAGCCAAGUAGCGUGAGGGAAGACUGCCCUAUGGGUUUUAAACCUCUUUUAUGCGGGGAUAAAGGUGUCCACGUGUUGAUGUUUGCAGGUACCGCAUGAUUAAGGUCAGGCUAAUUCCGUGCCAGCAGCCGCGGUAAUACGGAAGGUCCGGUCGUUAUCCGGAUUUAUUGGGUUUAACGGGAGCGGAGGCCGGGCUGUAUGCGUGCCGGGAAAUUUUGGGGCUCAACCAUGAGAGUGAGGAGAGUACUGGAGACCUUGAGUGCGCGGAAGGCAGGCGGAAUUCGAGGUGUAGCGGUGAAAUGCUUAGAUAUCACGAAGAAACCCGAUUGCGAAGGCAGCCUGCCGCAGCGUUACUGACGCUGAAGCUCGAAAGCGCGGGUAUCGAACAGGAUUAGAUACCCCAGUAGUC